GGCGAACGCUGGCGGCGUGCUUAACACAUGCAAGUCGAACGGAAAGGCCCUGCUUUUGUGGGGUGCUCGAGUGGCGAACGGGUGAGUAACACGUGAGUAACCUGCCCUUGACUUUGGGAUAACUUCAGGAAACUGGGGCUAAUACCGGAUAGGAGCUCCUGCUGCAUGGUGGGGGUUGGAAAGUUUCGGCGGUUGGGGAUGGACUCGCGGCUUAUCAGCUUGUUGGUGGGGUAGCGGCUUACCAAGGCUUUGACGGGUAGCCGGCCUGAGAGGGUGACCGGCCACAUUGGGACUGAGAUACGGCCCAGACUCCUACGGGAGGCAGCAGUGGGGAAUAUUGCACAAUGGGCGGAAGCCUGAUGCAGCAACGCCGCGUGCGGGAUGACGGCCUUCGGGUUGUAAACCGCUUUCGCCUGUGACGAAGCGUGAGUGACGGUAAUGGGUAAAGAAGCACCGGCUAACUACGUG
rnacentral:rRNA from 1 species